rnacentral:misc_RNA from 1 species
UACGAAGGGGGCUAGCGUUGUUCGGAAUUACUGAGCGUAAAGCGCACGUAGGCGGUUUCUUAAGUCUGAUGUGAAAUCCCGGGGCUCAACCUCGGAACUGCCUUCAAAACUAUCAGUCUGGAGUUCGAGAGAGGUGAGUGGAAUUCCGAGUGUAGAGGUGAAAUUCGUAGAUAUUCGGAGGAACACCAGUGGCGAAGGCGGCUCACUGGCUCGACACUGACGCUCAGGUGCGAAAGCGUGGGGAGCAAACAGG